UAGGGAAUCUUCGGCAAUGGACGAAAGUCUGACCGAGCAACGCCGCGUGAGUGAAGAAGAUUUUCGGAUCGUAAAACUCUGUUGUUAGAGAAGAACAAGGACGUUAGUAACUGAACGUCCCCUGACGGUAUCUAACCAGAAAGCCACGGCUAACUACGUGCCAGCAGCCGCGGUAAUACGUAGGUGGCAAGCGUUGUCCGGAUUUAUUGGGCGUAAAGCGAGCGCAGGCGGUUUCUUAAGUCUGAUGUGAAAGCCCCCGGCUCAACCGGGGAGGGUCAUUGGAAACUGGGAGACUUGAGUGCAGAAGAGGAGAGUGGAAUUCCAUGUGUAGCGGUGAAAUGCGUAGAUAUAUGGAGGAACACCAGUGGCGAAGGCGGCUCUCUGGUCUGUAACUGACGCUGAGGCUCGAAAGCGUGGGGAGCAAACAGG
rnacentral:rRNA from 2 species